rnacentral:rRNA from 1 species
GAUGAACGCUGGCGGCGUGCCUAAUACAUGCAAGUCGAGCGAACGGACGAGAAGCUUGCUUCUCUGAUGUUAGCGGCGGACGGGUGAGUAACACGUGGAUAACCUACCUAUAAGACUGGGAUAACUUCGGGAAACCGUAGCUAAUACCGGAUAAUAUUUUGAACCGCAUGGUUCAAAAGUGAAAGACGGUCUUGCUGUCACUUAUAGAUGGAUCCGCGCUGCAUUAGCUAGUUGGUAAGGUAACGGCUUACCAAGGCAACGAUGCAUAGCCGACCUGAGAGGGUGAUCGGCCACACUGGAACUGAGACACGGUCCAGACUCCUACGGGAGGCAGCAGUAGGGAAUCUUCCGCAAAGGGCGAAAGCCUGACGGAGCAACGCCGCGUGAGUGAUGAAGGUCUUCGGAUCGUAAAAAUCUGUUAUUAGGGAAGAACAUAUGUGUAAGUAACUGUGCACAUCUUGACGGUACCUAAUCAGAAAGCCACGGCUAACUACGUG